UACGUAGGGGGCAAGCGUUGUCCGGAAUCAUUGGGCGUAAAGGGUGCGUAGGCGGGUUUUUAAGUCAGAGGUGAAAUCCUGGAGCUCAACUCCAGAACUGCCUUUGAUACUGAAAGUCUUGAGUACGGGAGAGGUGAGUGGAACUGCGAGUGUAGAGGUGAAAUUCGUAGAUAUUCGCAAGAACACCAGUGGCGAAGGCGGCUCACUGGCCCGUAACUGACGCUGAGGCACGAAAGCGUGGGGAGCAAACAGG
rnacentral:rRNA from 1 species